ensembl:lncRNA
GUAAGGAGCGGAAUGUGAGGAGGUCACAGGCUGUGUGUUUGGGCUUGGCCCAGCUUCCCGUUGCCACCACUCGCUCCGGGUCGUUGUACAGACCCUUUCUGUAAGUGCUCGGUGACAGGCGGUCUUGGAAGUCACGGUGGCCGAGUGGUUAAGGCGUUGGACUCGAAAUCCAAUGGGGUUUCCCCGCACAGGUUCGAAUCCUGUUCGUGACGGCCGCUUUUUUUCAGGGUGUGUGUGAAGGAAACUUCUUGACUUCCACGUGUGUUUCGUGCCUUUCCCUUUCUGUAUCGGAAACAGAAGCCAAAAGGUCUCACCCCUGGAUCUGGGGGAAGAAGGGGGCUGAGGGUGACAAGAAGCGUUUAAUGAUGUACAACUGUAUUGUCUGCUAGGAUAACAAAGCACUUAGAGAAUUCUGUAACUUCAGGUUUGCAAGCAGAGUUUCGACGUACCUUGUUUCAUUCUUUCGGGAGGGUGUAGCCAAAGAUUUGGUUCAAGAACGGUUAAGUGUUGUUCAGGAAUGUGAAUGCUAGUUGUGCUUUUAAUAGUAAAAACUGGAGUUUCCAGAUAAAGAGGGCACCUCUGAAUUUAAUGACCAGACGUCACAUCUUGUAGGUCUCUGUACCGUGAAGAUCCUAGAAACAAGGCGUUCUCUCACUGGGAUUUCCCUCAGGUGCUACGUCUCAGGGAUCACAGAGCUUGUGGGGAAUGAUCUAUUGAAACAUCAACACUGCCAAUCUGGCUGGAGCCAGAGUGUGCGAAGAUAACUCACUUUUUAUCGUGUGCUUAUUAUGUGCCAGUUUCUCACUGUGGGGAAUAUCUAGGAUUCUUGUUGAGGAUGUUCUCUUUUUGUAUAUGAUUUCUUGCACAGCCACAUCCCCAAGAAGAUUCCCCAGAGGGCAGGGAUUCAAAGGUAAUUCAUAGAGUGUUUUACACAUUUCUUUUCGGAGUUUCCCACCUUUCUAUCAUUCUCAUGCCGUCUCAUGAGAUACACAAGCAGAGUUUCAUAAGCAAACUCUGCUUGCAUAUGAGA